CAAGUAUCUCAUUGUUUACAGUUGGUUCUGAAAUAUUUUUAAUUUUCUUGUCAUCAUUUUCUUUCACAAGUGCUACAAUGCUGUCUCCCUUGUUUGCAGAUGAAUCACAAGGAGCUUGACACACUUCUUUAUCCUUUGUGCAGUCCUGACCCAUUUUUUUUGUUACUACUUCAAGAGGUUCAAGUCCGCCUUCUGUAUUACAAGCAUCCACUGCUGACACAGAAUGAUCAACUGGCUCACACAUCAUCUGCUCAGCAGCAGCAAAAGAUUCUUUUUCAGAUUCAGAAACAGGAUCUACUCUAGUCGUCACUUGACAAGAUGCCUUGUGAUCACAUAAACUUGUUUCCGUGGAAAUCUUGGCAACAAUUUCUUCCUCUCUAUCUGAGCAAGUAAACACUACAGGUAAACCAGACACUUCAACAUCCUUGUGAUCAAUUACUGC
rnacentral:misc_RNA from 1 species